rnacentral:rRNA from 1 species
GACGUAGGGCGCGAGCGUUGUCCGGAUUUAUUGGGCGUAAAGAGCUCGUAGGCGGCUUGUCGCGUCGACUGUGAAAACCCGCGGCUCAACUGCGGGCUUGCAGUCGAUACGGGCAGGCUAGAGUUCGGUAGGGGAGACUGGAAUUCCUGGUGUAGCGGUGAAAUUCGUAGAUAUUCGCAAGAACACCAGUGGCGAAGGCAGGUCUCUGGGCCGAUACUGACGCUGAGGAGCGAAAGCGUGGGGAGCGAACAGG